UCGAAGGCUUGUUCAAGCUAUCAAUCCAUUCGUGCAGAGGAAAAUUCCUGUGCUUGGUUCCAAAUGAUUAUUAUGUAAUUUACUUAACACGACAUCAGUUCUUCGAAAGAUUCGUGUGCAUGUUAGCAGCUCUCCCUCGUGCGCUUUUGUAAAAUUCAAGUGACCAUCUCCAUUCAAAAGCUUAGAAGCAGCUGAAAGUACUAUUUUGAG
rnacentral:lncRNA from 1 species